rnacentral:rRNA from 1 species
UACGGAGGGUGCGAGCGUUAUCCGGAAUUACUGGGUUUAAAGGGUGCGUAGGCGGCUAUGUAAGUGAGGUGUGAAAAUCCCUCGGCUCAACCGAGGAACUGCGCUUCAUACUGCAUGGCUUGAGGGAGACAGGGGUAAGCGGAACUGAUGGUGGAGCGGUGAAAUGCGUGAUAUCAAUCAGGAACACCGGUGGCGAAAGCGGCUUACUGGGUCUCUUCUGACGCUGAGGUACGAAAGCUAGGGGAGCGACGGGAUAGAUACC